rnacentral:rRNA from 1 species
AUUGAACGCUGGCGGCAGGCCUAACACAUGCAAGUCGAGCGAGCGGCGGACGGGUGAGUAAUGUCUGGGAAACUGCCUGAUGGAGGGGGCUAACUACUGGAAACGGUAGCUAAUACCGCAUACCAUCAGAUGUGCCCAGAGGGGAUUAGCUAGUAGGUGGGGUAACGGCACACCUAGGCGACGAUCCCUAGCUGGUCUGAGAGGAUGACAAGCCACACGGGCACUGAGACACGGUCCAGACUCCUACGUGAGGCAGCAGUGGGGAAUAUUGCACAAUGGGAGCAAGCCUGAUGCAGCCAUGCCGCGUGUAUGAAGAAGGCCUUCGGGUUGUAAAGUACUUUCAGCGGGGAGGCGUUACCCGCAGAAGAAGCACCGGCUAACUCCGUGCCAGCAGCCGCGGUAAUAC